rnacentral:tRNA from 1 species
CAGAGAGUAGUUUAACUUAGAAUCUUAGCUUUGGGAGUUAAGGGCGGGAGUUAAAAUCUCCUCUCUCUGA